UGGCUCUUUAACAAGUCAGUGAGAAGUUGUGGUUGUAACAAAGCUCCUGAACUCCAUCAGAACGGUCCACACCGUGCUCCAAGUGUAAGGGCUGCCCCUUCCCUUCUUGCAGCCUCACCGUGUCCCACUUUUUUGGAGUCGCUGCAAAUCCCAGCCCAGGGAUUGGACUCUCCUGCACACAGCCUGCUGCAGACAAGCUCAGGCAGGGUGCACACUGCCAUCCAGCGGGAGAACUCGGUGGGCUCUCUGGAGCAUCUCCAUCCAACUGGGCACAUCUGCAGAUGCCAGAAAACAGCUUGAUCUUGUAAGUAUUGCUCUCUGUUAAUUAAACAGCCCAAAAGAUGGUAAAGAAAGCAAUGCAGAAACUGCCUGGAGAUAGAGACAGGCAUCCAAAACCUUGCCUUAGAAAGAUGACACCUGGAAAGGCUGCCUUGAGGCAGAGCAACUGUCCCCACAGCAGAGGUGGGGAGCUGAGAGGUCUGGAAGAAGAAGUGCAAGCUGAGAUCUCUCCUGGGCGUACCUCAGGGCUGGGUACGUUCAUGGACACGGACUGGGAACAAACGAGGGCUCCUUGUCAUCCCAGCCCUUCCUUCUGGCAGGAAAGUGAAGGCUUCAAGGGCAGCUGAACGUGUGGCUUUGGUUUGUAACUCCUGCAUUGUUUUUGCUCCUGGACAACACAGCGCCUUGCAACCCUUCCUGAAAGUGCUGGGUCAAGAGGUGGCAGCUAUAACCAAUGAAAAGUUCAUCUACACAUAUAUUUUUUUACCAGUCAGAUUUCAGCCUUCCCAGGUGAAAAAACAGACUGUUUAAGCAGGUGGUGUUUUCAGCGAUGCUUAAUAGGCUGGAUGCAGUCUCUAGAAAAACUGAAGUCUUACCUGGCCUGCAUUUUGUCAGAGGGCUGCAGUUACUCUACAGUUUAAGUUUCCAAGUGAGAGCCAUGCCAUCAACAGAUACAGAACCAACAAAUUUAAGCUGGGAGCUUACCUCUUGAUUAGAAAGCAUAUUUUCAGUAUUGCUUUAAUAUUAAUCUUGGAAAAACACUUCUUUUUGGAUCUAAAUAAAAGUAAGUGACAGCAGGGAAACAAUCAAUGGUUUAACGCAGCUGCAGAACUAUUUCCUGUGACGUGUAUUUGCAGUACAUUGGGGUUUUUAUAGCCCUAAAACUGCUGGGAUGUGGCAUAAAUGCAGUAAAUCAGGAGACUUCCCUGCCUUAGGGGUGGCACGCGUCAGCAGGACAAGGACAAGGGCACAAACCAGACUUAUUAUAACACUGAGUAAGCUCCUUGGUAAUACCUUACUUCGCUGUCAUCUCCCGGGAAGACAGACUGCAUAGCCCGCAUCUCUUUUUACUCUUGAGGAAGCUCUCCACUUGACCCCAGAAAGGAAAAGGAUGUAAUCCUCUUAUCUCAACAUAUAUAAACAAACGGGUGUUUCCCCACAGUGCUCUGAGAUGUCCAACAGCUCUGCACCACACCUUGGCAGUGACAGCUGAACUGUGCCAUCAGGAAGCCACCCCCAGGCUUGGCUCUUCCCACUGGCAACUCUAAGGUGUACAGAUCCCAAGCACAGUGCUGGGAGGGAACAAGGUUUCCCUUUCAUCAACAGCGAGGUCUUAGAUGCUAACCUCAGAUCUCAACAGCACUGCUGUACAAGUACGUUGAUGAUGGCCCUGGAGAAAAGACACUGAAAGACGACAAGAAAACCCAAAUGGAGCCCUAAUUUAUAGCCCUGAAUAGUCACCCUGAAUAGAAACUUGCCUUAAGCAGCGGAAGGACACACUUAAAGUGCUAACAAACACCUUUUUGUGCCUGCUACAUGACAGAUCCCAGUUCCCCAGGAAAGCUCAGCAGGCCGUGUUUCAGUGCAAGCACACCUCUGACCAAGAUUUGAGCAGUUGCUAACCUUUGUAAUGAUUUCAUCUCAGUUCCCCAGAAAGGGUCAAAGUCAUUCCAGUACAAGUUUGGGAAAAGCAAGUGUAGCAGAUCUUGUUAUAAAUACUGAGG